rnacentral:rRNA from 1 species
GCACAAGCGGUGGAGUAUGUGGUUUAAUUCGAUGCAACGCGAAGAACCUUACCUGGCUUGACAUCCCGGGAAUUUCCUGGAAACAGGAGAGUGCUUUCAUUAGAGAGAACCUGGAGACAGGUGCUGCAUGGCUGUCGUCAGCUCGUGUCGUGAGAUGUUGGGUUAAGUCCCGCAACGAGCGCAACCCUUGCCUUUAGUUGCCAGCAGUUCGGCUGGGCACUCUAAAGGGACUGCCGGUGUCAAACCGGAGGAAGGUGGGGAUGACGUCAAGUCCUCAUGGCCUUUAUGGCCAGGGCUACACACGUACUACAAUGGCCGGUACAAAGGGCAGCGACAUUGCGAGAUGGAGCGAAUCCCGAAAAGCCGGUCUCAGUCCGGAUUGGAGUCUGCAACUCGACUCCAUGAAGUUGGAAUCGCUAGUAAUCGUGGAUCAGCAUGCCACGGUGAAUACGUUCCCGGGCCUU